GGGCCCGCACAAGCGGUGGAGCAUGUGGUUUAAUUCGAUGAUACGCGAGGAACCUUACCAGGGCUUAAAUGUAGUAUGACCGGUCUAGAAAUAGGCCUUCCCUUUGGGCGGAGAUACAAGGUUGCUGCAUGGUUGUCGUCAGCUCGUGCCGUGAGGUGUUAGGUUAAGUCCUGCAACGAGCGCAACCCCUAUUCUUAGUUGCCAGCGGUUCGGCCGGGGACUCUAAGAAGACUGCCAGCGCAAGCUGAGAGGAAGGUGGGGAUGACGUCAAAUCAUCACGGCCCUUACGUCCUGGGCUACACACGUGCUACAAUGGUACAGACAGAGGGCAGCCACCUGGCGACAGGGAGCG
rnacentral:rRNA from 1 species